AUACGGAGGGUGCAAGCGUUACUCGGAAUCACUGGGCGUAAAGGACGCGUAGGCGGAUUGGAAAGUCAGAUGUGAAAUCCUACGGCUUAACUGUAGAACUGCAUUUGAAACUUCUAAUCUAGAGUAUGGGAGGGGGAGAUGGAAUUAGUGGUGUAGGGGUAAAAUCCGUAGAUAUCACUAGGAAUACCGAAAGCGAAGGCGAUCUCCUGGAACAUAACUGACGCUAAGGCGUGAAAGCGUGGGGAGCAAACGGGAUUAGAAACCCGAGUAGUCC
rnacentral:rRNA from 1 species